CCUCUUGCCCUGAAAACCGCAUCUGACCACCAGGACCUCAGGGAAACCAUGGCCUGAUGGAGGAAUAAAGAGAGUGAGAGAGACAGAGAGAGGUGGAGAGGCUUUGGCCCCACAGCAGCUGAUGGUGGCUCAGAAAGAGAGUCAAUUAUAGGGCUAUAAAGGUCUCUUUAGCCCAGAGACGGGCCGCCUGUGUCGGGGGGAAGCUGAAAGCUAACGUGAUUACCGGAGUGGAGCAACUAGCAGCACACAGGAGACACACAGGAAAACUGUAUACAUGCCUCUGGAGGUUAGCGUUGACAGAUCUAUGUCCUGACUACAUCCUUUUUCUGGUCACCCUUAUAUAAGGCUUGUACCCCCACACCAGCUUCGGCUUCCGCUCUUAAUGAGAUCCAAU
ensembl:lncRNA